GGAUUAGAUACCCUGGUAGUCCUGGCCCUAAACGGUGCGCACUUGCUGUGAGUGGAUUUAAAACCCACUCGUGGCGAAGUUAACACGAUAAGUGCGCCGCCUGAGGAGUACGGUCGCAAGAUUAAAACUCAAAGAAAUUGACGGGGGCCUGCACAAGCGGAGGAGUAUGUGGCUUAAUUCGAUGCAACGCGAAGAACCUUACCUGGUCUUGACAUGCAUGUGGUAGAAGCCUGAAAGGGUAACGACCUCGCAAGAGGAGCGUGCACAGGUGCUGCAUGGCUGUCGUCAGCUCGUGCCG
rnacentral:rRNA from 1 species